UGGCUCAGUUGGUAGAGCAUGGCACUUGUAAAUGCCAGGGUUGUGGGUUUGAUUCCCAU
rnacentral:tRNA from 1 species